UACAGAGAGUGCGAACGUUGUUCGGAAUUACUGGGCUUAAAGCGCACGUAGGCGGCGCCGCAAGUGCGGGGUGAAAUCCCACGGCUUACCCGUGGAACUGCCCCGUAGACUGUGGUGCUCGAGGAUGGUAGGGGAGAGCGGAACUCCUGGUGGAGCGGUGAAAUGCGUAGAUAUCAGGAGGAACACCGGUGGCGAAGGCGGCUCUCUGGUCCAUUACUGACGCUGAGGUGCGAAAGCUAGGGGAGCAAACGGG
rnacentral:rRNA from 1 species